rnacentral:tRNA from 1 species
GGGGUUGUAGCUCAGUGGUAGAGUGCUCACCUAGCAUGUGUGAGGCACUGGGUUUGAUCCUCAGCACCACA